UGGGGAAUAUUGCACAAUGGGGGAAACCCUGAUGCAGCAACGCCGCGUGAGUGAUGACGGCCUUCGGGUUGUAAAGCUCUGUCUUCAGGGACGAUAAUGACGGUACCUGAGGAGGAAGCCACGGCUAACUACGUGCCAGCAGCCGCGGUAAUACGUAGGUGGCAAGCGUUGUCCGGAUUUACUGGGCGUAAAGGGAGCGUAGGCGGACUUUUAAGUGAGAUGUGAAAUACCCGGGCUCAACCUGGGUGCUGCAUUUCAAACUGGAAGUCUAGAGUGCAGGAGAGGAGAGUGGAAUUCCUAGUGUAGCGUUGAAAUGCGUAGAGAUUAGGAAGAACACCAGUGGCGAAGGCGACUCUCUGGACUGUAACUGACGCUGAGGCUCGAAAGCGUGGGGAGCAAACA
rnacentral:rRNA from 1 species